GGGAUUACCUCAGUAACGGCGAGUGAAGCGGUAACAGCUCAAAUUUGAAAUCUGGCUCUUUCAGGGUCCGAGUUGUAAUUUGCAGAAGAUGCUUCGAGUGUGGUCCCGGUCUAAGUUCCUUGGAACAGGACGUCAUAGAGGGUGAGAAUCCCGUAUGUGACUGGGUGCCUUCGCUCAUGUGAAGCUCUUUCGACGAGUCGAGUUGUUUGGGAAUGCAGCUCAAAAUGGGUGGUAAAUUUCAUCUAAAGCUAAAUAUUGGCCAGAGACCGAUAGCGCACAAGUAGAGUGAUCGAAAGAUGAAAAGCACUUUGGAAAGAGAGUUAAACAGUACGUGAAAUUGUUGAAAGGGAAGCGCUUGCAACCAGACUUGCCCGCCGUCGAUCAUCCGGGGUUCUCUCCGGUGCACUCGGCGGCGUUCAGGCCAGCAUCGGUUUCGAGGGUGGGAUAAAGGCCUUGGGAAUGUAGCUUCUUUCGGGGAGUGUUAUAGCCCUCGGUGCAAUGCCGCCUCUCGGGACCGAGGACCGCGCUUCGGCUAGGAUGCUGGCGUAAUGGUUGUAAGCGACCCGUCUUGAAACACGGACCAAGGAGUCUAACAUCUAUGCGAGUGUUUGGGUGUCAAACCCAUACGCGUAAUGAAAGUGAACGGAGGUGAGAACCCUUAAGGGUGCAUCAUCGACCGAUCCUGAUGUCUUCGGAUGGAUUUGAGUAAGAGCAUAGCUGUUGGGACCCGAAAGAUGGUGAACUAUGCGUGAAUAGGGUGAAGCCAGAGGAAACUCUGGUGGAGGCUCGCAGCGGUUCUGACGUGCAAAUCGAUCGUCAAAUUUGCGUAUAGGGGCGAAAGACUAAUCGAACAUCUA
rnacentral:rRNA from 1 species